UUCAAUUCCCUUUACCCAUGCAGUCAUAUAAGAACUUCAUUUGAAAUGUUUCAGCUCUCCAUGUAAACACAAAGCUUUGGAAGUGUAAUCAAUGGCUCAAAAUCUCAGUUCACAAGUAGCUUUCUUGUUCAUCUUCUUCGCUAUUGCUUCAGGGCAAAAUACUUCCACAACUACAAAAACUUUCACCUUGUUUAACAACUGCAAAGGGACAAUAUGGCCUGGAAUAAUAACAAAAGAUGGCAGCAAUCGUGGGGAUGGUUUUGCCCUGAAGGCAGGCCAUACUGCCUCCUACAGUGCCCCAACUGGCUGGAGUGGCCGGAUAUGGGCUCGAACCGGCUGCAAUUUUGAUAACGAUGGUAACGGAAAAUGCCAAACAGGCAGCUGUGGAGACUCUCUACAUUGUUCAGGCCCAAGUAGUCCACCCAACACAAUUGCAGAAUUUACCCUCGGAGAUACCGAUUUUUACGAUGUUAGCCUUGUGGAUGGUUUCAAUUUGCCUAUAGGAGUUUCACCACUCAACGGUAAAGGGAAUUGUAGCAUAGCUGGUUGUGAUGAAGAUCUUCGGAAUAAUUGCCCGGCGCAACUCUCCGUCAAGUCUGAGGGAAAGGUCAUUGCUUGCCGGAGCGCCUGCGAUGCAUUUAACACUGAUGAGUACUGCUGUAGAGGAGCAUAUAGCGAUCCUGUUGCAUGUGUAUCCUCAAAUUAUUCCAAAGUUUUUAAGCAAGCAUGCCCAGCAGCAUCUAGCUAUGCAUUUGAUAAGGAUUCAACAAGUAUCAUAACAUGUUCUGCAUCAGAUUAUGUUGUAAGCUUCUGUGCAUCAAGGAGUCAAACUUUCUGCUCUUACCAUGACAAUAAGGUGGUAUGCAAUACAAGAAAUGCCUCAAAAGCACUACUACCCCAUGGAUGGUGGAAUCUGAUGGUGACAUUGCCUUUGGCAUUUAUUUUGCAAAUCAAGAUUUAGCAGUAUCUGUAAUUCUGUAUACUGUGUGAUUCAUUUUUGAACUGAAAAUUGGAGUUUCCCCAUAUAUGGCUUUUCACCAUAAGAACCUUUUCUUUCCUACUCUCUUUUAUCUUUGUUUAAUAUUUGUAAUUUCAAAACUGCACAAAUGUCUUGGAACUUUGAAGUGAUAUAUUUUAUGUGGCUUGAAAUUUGUAUAUGUCUUUAUAGAUUCAAUUUUUUACUA
rnacentral:misc_RNA from 1 species